rnacentral:snRNA from 1 species
UUAUUAUCGCAGAGGCGGUACCAUAGCCAAUGAGAGUUAUCCGAGGCGUGGUUAUUGCUAGUUGAAAAUUAUUAUUAUUAUU